UUCGCCAAGCCACGCCGACCCUCGUCCCCGGGUCAGUCAUAGCCGGGCCGCUGACGAAGGAAGACUGGCGCGCUCUGAGUCGACCCGAAGAUGUGAUAAAGUAGGGGGACGCAGUGGAGAACACACGAUCGUGUAACUUGCAUCGAACCGAAGAGUGAUUCAGUAAUUGUUAUCGAGUUUAAAAAAAGGAAAAAGAGAAAGGGAAAUUGAACCUGUCCCUUCGAAAAUAAACGCUCAUGAAUGAGACCAACAGGAGCACUUUUAAAGAGAAAGAGAUGCAACAUUAGGCCAGACCCGCCCACCAACCCUUGAGUGGCUGUGUUAUUGAACGAGCAGCCACCGACCAACGUUUGGCUGAACAAACUCACGCACACACGGCAGCCUUAUCUCCAGAACCCAAGGGCGGGAGGAAGCAAGAGCUACUACGACCUCAGCGGGCGUCCUCGCGAAGGAGACGACGUGAGGCCAAGGCGGGAAGUCAUGGUGCCAAGAGGUCACACUCCCGCCCUCUGUUAGCAUGUGUGUGCAUGCGCGCACUCUGCCCUCCCUCAAGGUGCGGGGUGAGGUGCACCUGUGCUAUGGGUGAGGGCUGGAGGUCAGGAUGGCCAGGCGUGAGGGUCAUGGG